CCUUUUUCCCCCACCUUCUACACCUUCUCCACCAUUGCCCCCCCUUCAAAUGAAGCACAAAGGUGACAGCAUACAGGGCCACGUAGUGGCCCCAGAAGACUGUGAAUUCCAUAAGAACAUGGAAAGUUUUCCAUACACUAAAGUUGUGUCGCGAAGGAUUCGAAACG